rnacentral:tmRNA from 1 species
GUCCGGUCCUUCCGGACUAGGUGACUCAAACCAGUGUUUCGGACAGCGGUUCGAUUCCGCUCAGCUCCACCA